rnacentral:rRNA from 1 species
CCUACGUGGGGCAGCAGUGAGGAAUAUUGGUCAAUGGGCGCGAGCCUGAACCAGCCAAGUCGCGUGAGGGAGGACGGCCCUACGGGUUGUAAACCUCUUUUGCCGGGGAGCAACGGGCGUCACGUGUGGCGCCACUGAGAGUACCCGGAGAAAAAGCAUCGGCUAACUCCGUGCCAGCAGCCGCGGUAAUACGGAGGAUGCAAGCGUUAUCCGGAUUUAGUGGGUUUAACGGGUGCGUAGGCGGAUCGUGAAGUCAUUGGUAAAAUUGAGGGGCUCAACCCCUUCCCGCCAUUGAAACUGGUGGUCUUGAGUGGAAGAGAAGUAUGCGGAAUGCGUGGUGUAGCGGUGAAAUGCAUAGAUAUCACGCAGAACCCCGAUUGCGAAGGCAGCAUGCCGGCUUCCGACUGACGCGGAAGCACGAAAGCGUGGGGAUCGAACAGGAUUAGAUACCCUAGUAGUC